UACGGAAGGCAGCAGUGGGGAAUAUUGCACAAUGGGCGCAAGCCUGAUGCAGCCAUGCCGCGUGUAUGAAGAAGGCCUUCGGGUUGUAAAGUACUUUCAGUCGUGAGGAAGGUGUUAAGGUUAAUAACCUUAGCAAUUGACGUUAGCGACAGAAGAAGCACCGGCUAACUCCGUGCCAGCAGCCGCGGUAAUACGGAGGGUGCGAGCGUUAAUCGGAAUUACUGGGCGUAAAGGGCACGCAGGCGGUUAAUUAAGUUGGAUGUGAAAUCCCCGGGCUUAACCUGGGAAUGGCAUUCAAGACUGGUUAGCUAGAGUCUUGUAGAGGGGGUUAGAAUUCCAUGUGUAGCGGUGAAAUGCGUAGAGAUGUGGAGGAUACCGGUGGCGAAGGCGGCCCCUGGACAAGACUGACGCUCAUGUGCGAAAGCGUGGGGAGCAAACAGGGAUUAGAUACC
rnacentral:rRNA from 1 species